rnacentral:lncRNA from 1 species
AUCAAGUGAUCCGUCCGCCUUUGCCUCCCAAAGUGCUGGGAUUACAGCGGGGAGCCACUGCGCCCAGCCCAGCCAGCCCGAUUCUGACCCAGAGGGUUUAGAAGUUGCUUAGACAGAUCUGCUCCUGCUAGUCAAGUGAAGCAGUGGGAGGCGGAGGACAAAAAGAAUUUUGACUAAGGCAAUAAAUAUAUUAUACAAGUGAAGUAUU